GACGAACGCUGGCGGCGUGCUUAACACAUGCAAGUCGAACGACGUGGCGAACGGGUGCGUAACACGUAGUAACCUGCCCUCCACUUUGGGAUAACUCCGAGACAUCGGGGCUAAUACUGUAUAGUGGGGGAUGGGCUCGCGGCCUAUCGGUUUGUUGGGGGGGUAGUGGCUAACCAAGGCGAUGACGGGUAGCCGGUCUGAGAGGAUGAUCAGUCACACUGGAACUGAGACACGGUCCAGACGCCUACGGGAGGCAGCAGUGGGGAAUAUUGGACAAUGGGCGAAAGCCUGAUCCAGCCAUGCCGCGUGUGUGAAGAAGGUCGUCGGAUUGUAAAGCACUUUAAGUUGGGAGGCGUUACCAACAGAAUAAGCACCGGCUAACUUCGUGCCAGCAGCCGCGGUAAUUC
rnacentral:rRNA from 1 species